rnacentral:lncRNA from 1 species
GGGGGGGGGGCGCCUGGGCGCUGGGGGUGCACAGCCCGGCGCGUGGCAGGAGCGCGCCCUAAAAUGAGGGGCGUAAGUGCUUUGCCCCGCGGCCCCUUUUCUUCUCUCCAGUACGUGAGCCGUUUGGCUCUGCAGCGGUGUCUAACCGACCUUAAACUUUCCGCGACCCUAUUUCGGGAUGCUAGGGCUCAGGUCGGGGAGAGAAGGAGCCCAGGUCCCCACUCCACACCUCUCCCUGGCUCUUAAGAUACUCUCUAACUCCUCGGGAGGAUCGCAGUACCCAGCCGACCUUUGCGAACGUUUAACUCGGGGUUGCCCUGUGCAGAAAGCUUAGUCUGCGAGGUGCGCGAACCGGCCAGGGGUUUCCCCCACCAGUGGUGCCUGGGGACACCGUGCGUUUUGCCCUCGCGUGUACCGCGACUUUCCCGGGACCUCAGGUAAGGCGCAGAGAAGUCGUGGGGGAGGUGGCAUCUUCCCUGGGCCGCGUGCGAAAUCCGGGCUCCCCGCCCCCACCCGCGCACACACACCCCUUUUUCGCUGCCUCGCAGCUGUGUACGAACCGACACGGUCCUUGGCGACCAAGGGACUGGAACGGGCGUCGCGGAUUAUCACCGCCUCUGUCAGCAGCGCGGCGCGCGCCCGCAGACUAGUCCGCGCUAGCCGGGACCCCGCGUCGCGGAUUCACCGCCUCUGUCAGCAGCGCGGCGCGCGCCCGCAGACUAGUCCGCGCUAGCCGGGACCCCGGUCCGCUGCCUUAGCCCCGAAAAGGCCGUGUGGGGGCGGGGCGGGGCGGUGGGGUCAGAAGCGCGGUCUCGCGGGGGUGCGUUAGUGCGCCUCCCCUCCCCGGCCUCAUCGAAGUAAAUGAUUUUCCAAAGGUCAGUCUCCCUGUGCGCGUUUGGGCUCUGAUUUUUGUUUUGGGGUGGUUUUUUUUUAAUAUUUAUUUCUGUGCUUUUCCAGUUGGGGAAGGGAGAGGCGCCUGGGCAGAGCUGAACUGGGGUAGGGAGGUUCGUGGUAAAGCGGGGCUCGCAGGGACGGCGAGGGCUCUUCGCAAGCAGGGUUUCCUGGUCCUGGAACUCACUUUUAUGACGUCGCUCCUCGCCAGCCCCCGGCCCCGCGCGGGUCCCAGUCGCAGCGAGUUGGGAAAGGGUAAAGGUGGAAAACUCCGGAAUGGAGGGAAGACCGGCCACGGAGCCGGAUCCAGGGCUUUAAAUUUUAACCCGAGUUCGAUCGACUGCAGCCCCCAGAAAGGUUCCCACCGCGGCGUCCAAGGUUUCGCAGCGCUUCGGUCCCGGUCCCGUGGCGAGUUGGACCAAGUGUUGAAACGGACUGCAUUUUGCAAAGCUCGUGUGUAAGCAGUUACGUAAAUGUUCUGGACGCUUUAUUUCCUUUGAAUCCAAUUGUAUUUUUUAAAUCGUGUUUCUCAGAUUUGCUGCUAAAAGGAAUUUUUAAAAACAAUUUAUACUUGUUAAAAAUAAAUGCUUUGGUCAAGUUUGCAUCCAGGCCACGAACGGCCUCCAAGCCAGAGCCUAACUGAGCCCUGGCGCGAGCCUGACCCUGGUGCAGUGUAAAUUCUUUAUUUUUCCAAGUUUGGGGUGUCCUUGUGCGCUUGCUGGGACAACAGCUAAACCCCGCUGCCCUCGCUGUGGGCAGAGAGCAGCCUGGCGCCUCGGGGGCGCGGGGACGCCGCCCCGUCAAGGACUUUCGGGGUCGGGAAGGGACCCGGUAACUAUGGUCCAGACCCCGGUCACCCCAACAGCGUCCCAACAAAGGGAAAAUAGGUGUUUGUUCCUUUUUCGGGGCUUCUCCCCUCCAGACUGAUUUUCAAACCAAAUGAGGGAAUGGGGAGAGAAAUUUGUCAGUUGGGUUAAUUUUUAAAUAAAGGAAAACUGUUUAACCUGGACAGUGAUUAGGACAGAAACCAGGCUGCCAGACCUCUUGGAUCCACCUUUUGCGAGGUGUCGGCCCUGGCCCUGGGACGACGUCCUCGGGCAGGGGCUCGUUUUCCGAGCCGACGCCGCCGUGCGCGGAGGCCAGCAGAGUCCGGGGUGCGAGGGAAGGCCCCACCCCAAGCCGGGAGAACCCAAGGGAGGCUGGAGAGAGUCCCGGAGCCCCAGGUGGACGGACUCGCCUUUCUUUUCCUUGCUUUUGUUUUUCUUUCUUCAGAGGUCCUCCUCUCUCCUCCGGCCUCUCCGGGGCCGCUGGGGCCCCGCUGGCCCUGGCCGAGCUCUGCCUCGGCAGCCGGGCCUGGCGCGGCCUGUCCCCGCUGAUUUAUUUGGGCCGCAGGGCGGCA